AUAGAGUAGGGCCUAGUGAAUGUAUUUCAAUUGACGGAUUUCCUUAUAUGAACUAAAAUCUUUGAAAAUGUUGCGUUUACACUUUUGUUCAGUGUAGUUACAUUUCAGACAAAGAACCAGGGUUGAACGGGAGACAAGUACCAUACAGAAGACACAGAAUUAGGUAAGGCCGAAAUCAAGAUCCGCUUGCAAUGAUCAACACGAUGACAUCUUGUUAUGAGAUAGCGACAACACAAAUGAACCAGUGCUGUAAGUGUAAGGCUAUGGCCUUAUUGCUUCACUAACAUCCUAUUAACAGUAGUAGUACACAGGUUUGACAUGAUUCAGAAUCUAAAUGUUUUAGAAUCCAACCGUCAUAUUUUACAGCAUACCCAUGUAUAUAGAUGCUUUUGGCCAUAUAUUUCUGGUAUGGGUGGUAAAAAAAAAACAUUUACAGUAAUCUUCCUCUUGCAUAUAUACAGAAAAAACUAUUGGAUUUCAGAACACAAAAAUGUGAUAAAUACAAUUUUAAAAAAGUGGCAACAAUAGAUUUUCACCAAUGUUUCACUGCCUUAUUAGGCAACAAUUGAAAAACAAAUAAUUCCUUGAUAGCCCUAAACCACAGUUACAAGCAUCUGGUUCCUAAUGGUAACAGACAGUGUGGACAGUAUUUGGCAUUAUUACCUGCCUAUAUGUUAUCCUUAGUGUUUGACUUGUUGGAUAAGAAUGAUUGUUCAAACAUCAAAAUAAAGCCAUGAUAUUCCAAAGUGCUAUACAGUACAACCGUAUUAGUUCUAUACAAUAUUGAUCAGAAUAAUAUUUGGAUUGAGAUGCUGAGUACUACUAAAGUCGUUUGACAUGAUAUGCCAGGUAGAAAGAACUACACAACGCAAAUUUAAAAAAAAAUUAUACAUUAUACACAAACACCAUCAUCAAAUUCAGCCACAAAAUGGUAGCUAUACCAGAAGCUUAAUGUCAUCCCUUUUAGUUUAACUCUGUUGGUCACACCACUGUGGGUGUUUACUGUGCGUUUUACCACAUAACACAAACCAAACAGGACAGAGGGAACAGUCCUACAAAGCUGUUCUGUGAGACAAACCUUUUUAAAACUCAGCCUAUAAAAGUUGUUCAUUUGUCUUAUGAACGUCCAACUUCAUAAAAAUAAAGACGACUCAAGUGAGUUGCAGCCAACUCAGUGACAGAGACAAAUAUAGCCCGAUAUCAGACAUGGUUUAAAACGUUCAACAACACAGAGACACACAGAAAGGGCACACAUAGACACACAUGCAGACAGAGACAUCAUGCAUCAUUUCUCAGACAGAACCACAGACACACAAUGAGAGACUGAGAAGAAUGCUGAGAGACCGAGACAAAUGCAGAGAUUUGACAGACAGAUUUCAGGACAGACAGAGAAGAUUACAGUAUAGCACCUCUUUCUGCCAGAGGUCAUGCAGCCACAUUAAAACAUGUCACAAACACUUGUAGCAUACAAAACAACUGGCACUCAGACUAUCAUGCCAACUUCUUGUCACUCAUUGUCAUGUCAAACAUGCUUGGCAAUAAGCAAUGGAGUUGGCAAGAGCACAAACAGCCUUGGGACCAGGCUAGCAUACAGUAAGUAUAUACACAUUAACCUCUAUGUAGUGUACCUGUGUGAUAGCAUAAUUGUUCCCUUGCCACUGAUACGUCAGUUGUCUUUCAGAAGAUAAAGCUGCCAACAAUGUAGUCUCCACUUUCUUUCAGACGGAUCAACUUGGAAUCCUUGAAUUGAAAGUACACAAAGAUAACCAACACGUGGAUCGACGUUUUUUUCAAUAAACGGUUCAUUAAAAUCUUUAUCUGUGAUUCAGAUUUCCUUGUGUGAGGGGCAGGUGUAAGGCCCGCCUCCUUAGUGCAUAGCUCAGAGUGGGAGGAGUCCACUCCUCCUCAUCCAAUAGGAGUGAGUCUUUGUUCUCAGUGUCAGUUCAGUUGCUUAAAUAGUCCAACUGACCACAGCGUCUGUUUUGUUCAGGAAAAAAACAGUCUCAUCCAAAACUAUAUGUAGCUAUGUCGCAAUACCAAAUAUAGGUAUGUCGCAAUACCAAAUAUAGGUAUGUCGCAAUACCAAAUAUAGGUAUGGCGCAAAAAAAAAGACCAGUGUAAAACAGCCUUGUACUCUUGUCAGUUUUACUUGGGUCAGUUAUGCUGUUUGUCGUGGCUUGUGCACAGCAGAUCUGU